UACAGAGGGUGCGAGCGUUGUUCGGAAUUACUGGGCGUAAAGCGCGCGUAGGUGGUCUUUUAAGUCCGACUGUGAAAUCCCGGGGCUCAACCCCGUGGGCUGCAGGGGAUACUGGGAGACUGGAGACACGUAGAGGCAAGCGGAAUUCCGGGUGUAGCGGUGGAAUGCGUAGAGAUCCGGAAGAACACCGGAGGUGAAGGCGGCUUGCUGGGCGUGAUCUGACGCUGAGGCGCGAAAGCGUGGGGAGCGAACAGG
rnacentral:rRNA from 1 species